GGCGGAUUAAUUUAAUGGUUAGAAUACUGUGUUACGGCCGCAAGAAUGUAAGUUCAAGUCUUACAUCCGCUU
rnacentral:tRNA from 1 species